rnacentral:sRNA from 1 species
AGAGGGCUCUUCCGGCGCCUUCCCAGGCGGGGAUGCUGCGGCACCUCCGGGCAACACCUAAUACUCGGGGCUCCGCUCGGCUUCUUCGCGCCGAGAUGCCUAAGAAGGCUGGUGCGACGACCAAGGGUAAAAGCCAGAGCAAGGAACCAGAGAGACCACUUCCUCCCUUAGGUCCUGUGGCAGUUGAUCCUAAAGGAUGCGUCACCAUAGCCAUCCAUGCAAAACCUGGCUCCAAACAAAAUGCUGUAACAGAUUUGACAGCAGAGGCUGUAAAUGUAGCUAUUGCAGCACCUCCAUCAGAGGGAGAGGCUAAUGCUGAGCUCUGUCGGUAUCUUUCCAAGGUCCUAGAACUCAGGAAGAGUGAUGUGGUUUUGGAUAAGGUAGGUCUCGCUCUCUCUUUUUUUUUUUGAGACAAAAUCUUGCUCUGUCGCCCAAGCUGGAGUGCAGUGGCGCAGUCUUGGCUCACUGCAACCUCCACCUCCUGGGUUCAAGCUAUUCUCCUGCCUCAGCUUCCUGAGUAGC